CCUACGGGGGGCAGCAGUGGGGAAUAUUGGACAAUGGGGGCAACCCUGAUCCAGCCAUGCCGCGUGUGUGAAGAAGGCCCUCGGGUUGUAAAGCACUUUCAGUGAGGAAGAACGCCUGGUGGUUAAUACCCAUCAGGAAAGACAUCACUCACAGAAGAAGCACCGGCUAACUCCGUGCCAGCAGCCGCGGUAAUACGGAGGGUGCGAGCGUUAAUCGGAAUUACUGGGCGUAAAGCGCGCGUAGGUGGCUUGAUAAGCCGGUUGUGAAAGCCCCGGGCUCAACCUGGGAACGGCAUCCGGAACUGUCAAGCUAGAGUGCAGGAAAGGAAGGUAGAAUUCCCGGUGUAGCGGUGAAAUGCGUAGAGAUCGGGAGGAAUACCAGUGGCGAAGGCGGCCUUCUGGACUGACACUGACACUGAGGUGCGAAAGCGUGGGUAGCAAACAGGAUUAGAUACCCCGGUAGUC
rnacentral:rRNA from 1 species